rnacentral:rRNA from 1 species
UACGUAGGGUGCAAGCGUUGUCCGGAAUUAUUGGGCGUAAAGAGCUCGUAGGCGGUUUGUCGCGUCUGCUGUGAAAACCUAAGGCUCAACCUUGGGCCUGCAGUGGGUACGGGCAGACUAGAGUGCGGUAGGGGUGACUGGAAUUCCUGGUGUAGCGGUGGAAUGCGCAGAUAUCAGGAGGAACACCGGUGGCGAAGGCGGGUCUCUGGGCCGAUACUGACGCUGAGGAGCGAAAGCGUGGGGAGCGAACAGG